ensembl:lncRNA
CAGGCAUCUAUGGGUGACCCAGUUUCAGACGCUUUGUUCGGGGAAACCGCCUGCAUCAGUUUUGUCGGCUACCUUUAUUCAAAGAUGGCGGUUAAAUAUUAUUUAUAAUGAAACUAUUUAUAUGUCAAUAUUUUAUAUAUAAGUGAACUUUAGUGAUUCUAUCACACCACACAUUUUGUGUCGGUAAUGAGGCGCAUGAGCAGAUACUUCAAGCGUGAGUUCGACUGGCACAAAAAAACUCGUCCACUGGAAUUAGUCUACUGUAGUCAGUGGCAGCGUGAAUUAUACCGAAACUCUCCACUUCCUUAGUGGACGCCUGAUACUGGCUCUCAUUACCAAUGAGACGCAUUUAACUGUCUUGGCAUCUUGUUGGAGCUGGAUAAGAAAUGACGGGUCCCUAGCGACGCAAAGGGUGGCCUGAAUAUCAACAAAAGAGGAAUAACAACUGAAGACAACAUCCGAAGUUGGCAUGAAGCAUCACGCUUCGUAACGCGUUCAAUCUAAGGAGAUUUAUGUCCAGGAUAAUUGCUCAGAUUCUUCAAAAUAUCUCCCGUAUGACUGUAUCUUAAAUAGAAGAUCCACCUGGUUCAGUUAAAGUGUUUUGGAAGACCGUUUGUGUCAUGAUGAACUCCAGGCGCACGUUGUUUUCAGCAGGUUGGGAGUCGGUGGUGCUGUCCAGCGUCCUGCUUCUCCUCAUCACUCCUUUGUGUGUUAAUGACGCUGACACUAGAGCUGCCUACACUGCUGGAAACUUAUGGAACUACAUAACCUGUUGGACACUUGCUGAUCUUCAGCAUCUGUGCAGUAAAGCAUUACAGUUGAAUUAAUCAUGUCGUUGAUCCAGUUUUGUACUUGUUAAGCUCACUGACUGUGACGAAGACUGUGUUGGACAAGGGGACCAAUCUCUUCCAAACAUUCGAUGUGGUGCACAGACACUGACCAUGUUUAUGUGCACAAACAAUAUCCUUGCAUCAACAAAAAUUGAACAUUUUGAUUACCAACCAGCAAUGUGAAUGAAUUAACAUGAUUAAGAUAAAAUUCUGAUUUCUGAUUUUUUUUUUUUUGUCUCUGCAAGCAUUAUUUGGAAAAUAUGUCGGUUAAAUGUGCAUGUCCAAAUGAAAGUGAUUCUGUAUUUGUGAAAUAUUUUAGUUGUGUAUUAUUGAUAACACUUUACAAUAAGGU